CAAACAGCUCAGUAACACGUGGCUAAUCUGCCCUUAGGACGCGAACAACCCCGGGAAACUGGGGCUAAUUCUCGAUAGGUGAAGAACUCUGGAAUGAGUCUUUGCCUAAAAGAGCUUACGUUAUGCUCGUAAGUUUCGCCUAAGGAUGAGGCCGCGACCGAUCAGGUUGUUGGUGAGGUAAUGGCUCACCAAGCCUUUUACCGGCGCGGGCCGUGAGAGCGGGAGCCCGGAGAUGGGCACUGAGACAAGGGCCCAGGCCCUACGGGGCGCAGCAGUCGCGAAAACUUUGCAAUACACGAAAGUGUGACAGGGCUAUCCCGAGUGCCAUCCGCUGAGGAAGGCUUUUACCCAGUCUAGAACGCUGGGGGAAUAAGGAGAGGGCAAGUCUGGUGUCAGCCGCCGCGGUAAUACCAGCUCUCCGAGUGGUGUGGAUGUUUAUUGGGCCUAAAGCAUCCGUAGCUGGCUAGGUAAGUCCCCUGUUAAAUCCACCGAAUUAAUCGUUGGAUCGCGGGGGAUACUGCUUGGCUAGGGGACGAGAGAGGCAGACGGUAUUUUUGGGGUAGGGGUGAAAUCCUAUAAUCCCAGGAAGACCACCAGUGGCGAAGGCUGUCUGCUAGAACGCGCCCGACGGUGAGGGAUGAAAGCUGGGGGAGCGAACCGGAUUAGAUACCCGGGUAGUCCCAGCUGUAAACGAUGCAGACUAGGUGUUUGGACGGCCACGUGCCGUUCUAGUGCCGCAGGGAAGCUGUU
rnacentral:rRNA from 1 species